UACGUAGGGGGGCGAGCGUUGUCCGGAGUUACUGGGCGUAAAGGGCAUGCAGGCGGUCCGACACGUUUUGUGUGACAGCGGGUGGCUUAACUACCCGAGGAUACGAAAGACGGUUGGACUUGAGGACUCGAGAGGGACACGGAAUUCCGGGUGGAGUGGUGAAAUGCGUAGAGAUCCGGAGGAACACCGAAGGCGAAGGCAGUGUCCUGGCGAGUGACUGACGCUGAGGUGCGAAAGCCAGGGGAGCAAACGGG
rnacentral:rRNA from 1 species